UGCGUAGGGGGCGAGCGUUGUCCGGAUUUAUUGGGCGUAAAGAGCUCGUAGGCGGUUCGAUAAGUCGGAUGUGAAAUCUCCACGCUCAACGUGGAGGGGCCAUUCGAUACUGUCGUGACUCGAGUCCGGUAGGGGAGUGUGGAAUUCCCGGUGUAGCGGUGAAAUGCGCAGAGAUCGGGAGGAACACCAAUGGCGAAGGCAGCUCGCUGGGACGUUACUGACGCUGAGACGCGAAAGCGUGGGGAGCAAACAGG
rnacentral:rRNA from 1 species